rnacentral:rRNA from 1 species
GACAGAGGGUGCAAACGUUGCUCGGAAUUACUGGGCGUAAAGCGCACGUAGGCGGUCUUUUAAGUCGGGGGUGAAAUCCUGGAGCUCAACUCCAGAACUGCCUUCGAUACUGGAAGACUUGAGUCCGGGAGAGGUGAGUGGAACUGCGAGUGUAGAGGUGAAAUUCGUAGAUAUUCGCAAGAACACCAGUGGCGAAGGCGGCUCACUGGCCCGGUACUGACGCUGAGGUGCGAAAGCGUGGGGAGCAAACAGG